CGGCGGCACGGGUGAGUAACACGUAUCCAACCUGCCGAUGACUCGGGGAUAGCCUUUCGAAAGAAAGAUUAAUACCCGAUGGCAUAGUUCUUCCGCAUGGUAGAACUAUUAAAGAAUUUCGGUCAUCGAUGGGGAUGCGUUCCAUUAGCUUGUUGGCGGGGUAACGGCCCACCAAGGCAUCGAUGGAUAGGGGUUCUGAGAGGAAGGUCCCCCACAUUGGAACUGAGACACGGUCCAAACUCCUACGGAAGGCAGCAG
rnacentral:rRNA from 1 species